AAAGAUCUGGGUGCUAAGUGUGCUGCUUGCUGUUGGGGUGUCAUCACUUCUAAACCUUCGCCACCGACAACAAGGAAAUACAUGGGUGUGCAGAUCUUCCUCAGCUGACAGUGGGGUGAUGUCCUAAAAAACCCAUGGAUGUCCUUGGAACCACAGUAGAGGGGACGGCCAUGGCCAGCGCAACCCAGCGAAAAGCCCUUGUAGCUGCCACAACGAAUCAGAGGUCAACCAAUCGCCGAGCGACAGCACGACCUGACGCGAAAAAGGCCCACCCGGACCUAAACCCCGAACCGCUGCAGCUUAAAAACCUCACCCCACCACACCUGGGGGCGACUUCCCUGACUCCUCCCUCUCUCUCUCUCUCUCUCUCCCUGAGUCAGGGAACCUCGCCGGAGACCUUAGUUCCCAAAUAAAGCCUUUGACUCCUAACAUUUUUUAGCCUCUGACUCCUAUCUUUACCCUGCCUUACGCCUGACCCUAACAUUUGGUGCCAAAACCCGGGAGGAGGUAGUAGCUCGCCUCCCUUGGCUGAGCUCCCUCCUCGCCAAGCCAGAGGCCAACACCCUACUCUCAAGCGCCUACAGGAGCCGGUAAGUAGGACAGACCCCUCCUUCCCUCCUCCAACUACGGCUGACACCCACGGGAGACGUCUCGCAAGUCAGUCUCCUUUCCUCCGCACGCGCAAGGCCCCUUAUUGCAGCGCGAGGGACGCCUCGCCCUGCCACGCCCAUGGGGAGUAACGAGUCUAAACCGCCUCCAUCUCUUACCCCCCUCCAACGUCUGUUAAAAAUUCCCGCUUCUGGGCUUACAAGGCAAACUUCGUCGCAACCGGCUCAUCCGCCUUCGCACUGUAGUCUGGCCUCAGUACAAAUUAGAUAAUGAUUCUCAAUGGCCACCCGAGGGGUCUUUACAAUACCAAGUCUUAACCGAUCUGGACACUUUCUGCCCUCGGCGGGGAAAAUGGGGAGAAAUACCCUACGUCAUGGCCUUUUGGGACCUCAGGUCUCGCCCCACCCUAUGUUCCUCCUGCCCCUCUGCACGCGUGCUCCUUGCCCACCCACGACCCCCGCCGAGGACCCCACCUCACCAACUUCCCCGAUCUCCCACCCGUUAGAGGAUCUAGCCACGCCGCCCGCCGGCCCUCGCCCCCCCUCCGUACCCCCAACCCCCAGCCGUCCCGCCCUCGCCUCCCAUAUCAUCCCGAACUCGUGCUCAGGCCCCUCCCAGCGGACAGACCCCAGCGGCCAUCUUACCUCUCCGCCAGGUGGCAGGGCCUGAAGGCCUGGUUCGCGUUCACGUCCCCUUCUCCCUCCAAGACUUAUCCGCCAUUGAAAAGCGGCUAGGGUCAUUCUCGGCUGACCCCACCCAAUACAUUAAGGAAUUCCAAUACCUUGCCCAAGACUACAGUCUCACGUGGCAUGACAUCCAGAGAAAUCAUGUCCAAUUGAAGGUUCUAUAGAAGCUCCUCAUUUGCACCAUUCAGUGGAUUAUAAAAUAUGUGCAUUUCCUUUGCACAUUCAUGAAGGUCUCCAUCGAUAACAUUUCCAUGUCCCCCAGUUGGAAGGUUGGGUCUCUCCAGUCAAUAUUGAUUGAUUUGCCUCAUUUAUCAUAGUUUAGCUGCUCAACAAAUAUGUCAAAUAUGUCGAUUUGAUUUAAGAAAAUCUAUUUUAUGAAAACCCCAAGUUCUAUAAUGGGCUGCCAGCUACCCUCACCCAAACUGGAGUUCACAGACAUGGGGAAAAGACCAGGAGCAAACACACACUGAGGACAUCUUCAAGUAUCAAGUAUCCCAUGGCUUCAGGGCACCUGGGUGGCUCAGUCAGUGAUGAAAUAACACAGAUAUUCUGAGCAGAUACUCUCCAGUGAUGACUUACGGUUAGGGGUUCAUUUGGGAAAUUGUCUGAAACUGCCCAAAAGGCCCAGAUUCUGAAUUCCUAAGGUAAAGCUGACUUAGUGGUUGGUGAAUGGCACUAUCAUGCUUUUUCCUUAAUCUUAAUGCAUUGUCUUGCUAAAUGCAACAAUUUUGUAGUUAAAGUUAAUAGCGUAGCAUCAUAGGAUCUUAGAUGUACAAAGUGUCUCAAGUAUACCUUACAGUUUCCAAGAUGUGCUGAGCUUUGAUGGCAUAGGAUGAAGGCUUCAAUGAGAUGAUUGCCUCUGGAAUUGGGUCUGAAGUUGAGUUCCCAUCUCUUUCACUGGGUAAGGCUUGUCUUAUAUUUGCAUUUUUACACACUUUGUCUUAUUAAGGCUGAUACAUUAUAGCCCGCCACUUAAAUUCAAUAUGUCAUUACAUCUUCCUCUAGAUGUGUUUCUAACCCAUUUUUGUCUUGAUAGAAGUCUAUUUGUUUCUGGGGCGCCUGGGUGACUCAGUCAGUUAAGCGUCUGACUUCAGCUCAGGUCAUGAUCUCACUGGUUGUGGGUUCGAGUCCGGCCUCAGGCUCUGUGUUGACAGCUCAGAACCUGGA